rnacentral:lncRNA from 1 species
UUCCACCUGCUCGAGAAUAAUCAAAACAAGUCUUCAAUAGUCAUCAAGUUAAAUACAUUAAAUAAUUGUGAACGAGUGGUGUUAAACUUGAAAAACUUCAUUCUUAUGUAUAUAUCGAUAAGUGGUCUUUUAAAUAUGUGGAUUGACUGUGAUUAUCUUUUUUUUACUUUCAAGCCGAUAAAUAAAUAUUGAUUUGAGUAGUGAGUUAUAUACUCGUGGCCAUCCAAAAGGGAUUCCUAAAAUUGUGCAUGAAUACUAGUGGAAAUCAUAUCAAUAACCGACAAAAAAAUUAAAACUGCUCGUCUAGUGGAUCAUAUUGGAUGUAUUUGAGAGACCAGCAUCUUUGUAAAAGACGCUGAACUCGAUCAGGAACUUCUUGGUGGCGUUGAUCUUGAAAUGAAUUAAGCUUCAGACAAAAUAAUUCAUCUGAUCCAUGUCAGGAGAGCUAGAAGGCCAAAUAUCCUUGAACAUCUAUUCGUAGCAGUGGUCCUUGUAAUCCCUCCCCUGAGGUCCUUGGUCCCCACCAUGGAAUUAUUCAGCUCUGCAACGCUUCUCCUGUCUAUCCCUACCAUCUUUAAGAGCUCAUCAUUUAUCAUUCCUAGAACGUUAUUCACCAAAAUCAUCACAACAGCGCACCUGCAUUCUGCCUCUGAAAAUGUAAUAGGGGUCAAACCUUCUGAUGUUGACUCCAAAGCAGAGUUUUGGCUACUAAUUGAAACGUUUCUAAGUUUAUUUUACUACAAAAAUAAAUAUUGAGCAAUUUGGUUUCGUAUAUGCCGGAAAAAUCCAAAAGUAUGAUGCGCCGGAUUUCGUUGUUGAAUCUUGUAGAUUAAGCAAUCAAGACAGUGCUUACAUCACGUUUGGAUUCGAAAAUUUCACUUAUUUUAUCUACAAUUUGGACGAUUGGCCUUCCAGACUGUGGUGCAUCUUUGAUAUAAAAAUCACCGGAACAGAAUCGAUGAAGCCAAAAUUACACGUGAUUGGCUGUAACAGUAUCAAGACCACAAACUUUAUUCACAUUUUCUGCCCCUGGUUUGUGUUUGUAACUUUAUCAAAGAAAAAUUGCAGAAUACAACGUAUUUUCUCCUUGCUGGUGGCCAUUUUUGACGCGUGAUCAAACAAUAAUGGAAAAAAAUCAUUAAAUUGUUUGAAAAAUUGUUAUCCCAUUUUUGAUUUUCGUGCUUCAUUUUGAAUCUGAAUCUGUGACAAAAUAAUUGGUGUUUGUCAAAAUUUCAAUAAGUUUUCUUAAUUGAGGA